UACUAUCAUAGGACCCACUUCACCUCACA
rnacentral:piRNA from 1 species